rnacentral:rRNA from 1 species
GUCACACCAUGGAAGUCUGCAAUGCCCGAAGCCGGUGGCCUAACCACUUAUGUGGAAGGAGCCGUCUAAGGCAGGGCAGAUGACUGGGGUGAAGUCGUAACAAGGUACC